AUUGAACGCUGGCGGCAGGCCUAACACAUGCAAGUCGAGCGGAGCGGCGGACGUGUGAGUAAUGUAUGGGGAUCUGCCCGAUAGAGGGGGAUAACUACUGGAAACGGGCGCUAAUACCGCAUACUAUCAGAUGAGCCUAGGUCGGAUUAGCUAGUUGGUGGGGUAAAGGCCUACCAAGGCGACGAUCCGUAACUGGUCUGAGAGGAUGAUCAGUCACACUGGAACUGAGACACGGUCCAGACUCCUACGGGAGGCAGCAGUGGGGAAUAUUGGACAAUGGGCGAAAGCCUGAUGCAGCCAUGCCGCGUGUAUGAAGAAGGCCUUAGGGUUGUAAAGUACUUUCAGCGGGGAGGCGUUACCCGCAGAAGAAGCACCGGCUAACUCCGUGCCAGCCGCCGCGGUAAUUC
rnacentral:rRNA from 1 species